rnacentral:rRNA from 1 species
GAUGAACGCUGGCGGCGUGCUUAACACAUGCAAGUCGAGCGAAGCACUUUGAUCGGAUUUCUUCGGAAUGACGAUUGAUUUGACUGAGCGGCGGACGGGUGAGUAACGCGUGGGUAACCUGCCUCACACAGGGGGAUAACAGUUGGAAACGGCUGCUAAUACCGCAUAAGCGCACGGGGACGCAUGUUUCUGUGUGAAAAACUCCGGUGGUGUGAGAUGGACCCGCGUCUGAUUAGGUAGUUGGUGUGGUAACGGCUCACCAAGCCGACGAUCAGUAGCCGACCUGAGAGGGUGACCGGCCACAUUGGGACUGAGACACGGCCCAAACUCCUACGGGAGGCAGCAGUGGGGAAUAUUGCACAAUGGGGGAAACCCUGAUGCAGCGACGCCGCGUGAAGGAAGAAGUAUUUCGGUAUGUAAACUUCUAUCAGCAGGGAAGAAAAUGACGGUAC